UACCAAGUAUGCAAAUGAUCCCUUAUAGGAU
rnacentral:piRNA from 1 species